rnacentral:tRNA from 1 species
GACGGCCUGGUCGAACGGUACGGACUCGGCGACCCGGGCGCCGUCGGCGAGUUCGUCGCCGGGGCCGUCC